rnacentral:rRNA from 1 species
UAGGGAAUCUUCCGCAAUGGACGCAAGUCUGACGGAGCAACGCCGCGUGAGUGAAGAAGGAUUUCGGUUCGUAAAACUCUGUUGUUAGAGAAGAACAGCGCAUAGAGUAACUGUUAUGCGUGUGACGGUAUCUAACCAGAAAGCCACGGCUAACUACGUGCCAGCAGCCGCGGUAAUACGUAGGUGGCAAGCGUUGUCCGGAUUUAUUGGGCGUAAAGCGAGCGCAGGCGGUCAAUUAAGUCUGAUGUGAAAGCCCCCGGCUCAACCGGGGAGGGUCAGUGGAAACUGGGUGACUUGAGGGCAGAAGAGGAGAGUGGAAUUCCAUGUGUAGCGGUGAAAUGCGUAGAUAUAUGGAGGAACACCAGUGGCGAAGGCGACUCUCUGGUCUGUAACUGACGCUGAGGCUCGAAAGCGUGGGUAGCAAACAGG